rnacentral:lncRNA from 1 species
UGGUUCAUGCCUAAGAACCAUAGAAGUAGAAAGGGUUUACUAUCAUGCAUUGAGAAAGGCAGAGCGGUCUGUUGUCCUGACACAACCAUGGCUGCACCAGUUCUUUCAUGGAAAGCUUCCUACUCUUUACCACGGACAACCUGCAGCUUAUCCUCGGUUUUGUGACCUUUUUCCUACGAGCCUGCAUCCACAUUUAUGCUGUCAUGUGUAUAGUGGCUGCACCAGUUCUUUCAUGGAAAGCUUCCUACUCUUUACCACGGACAACCUGCAGCUUAUCCUCGGUUUUGUGAGCUUUUUCCUACGAGCCUGCAUCCACAUUUAUGCUGUCAUGUGUAUAAUGUUAUUGCAAACAUUGUAUUCAUUAAUGACCCUGAUACCAGCUAUAUUGAACCAGACAGUAU